GACGAGCGCUGGCGGCGUGCCUAAUACAUGCAAGUUGAGCGCUGAAGGUUGGUACUUGUACCAACUGGAUGAGCAGCGAGCGGGUGAGUAACGCGUGGGGAAUCUGCCUUUGAGCGGGGGACAACAUUUGGAAACGAAUGCUAAUACCGCAUAAAAACUUUAAACACAAGUUUUAAGUUUGAAAGAUGCAAUUGCAUCACUCAAAGAUGAUCCCGCGUUGUAUUAGCUAGUUGGUGAGGUAAAGGCUCACCAAGGCGAUGAUACAUAGCCGACCUGAGAGGGUGAUCGGCCACAUUGGGACUGAGACACGGCCCAAACUCCUACGGGAGGCAGCAGUAGGGAAUCUUCGGCAAUGGACGAAAGUCUGACCGAGCAACGCCGCGUGAGUGAAGAAGGUUUUCGGAUCGUAAAACUCUGUUGGUAGAGAAGAACGUUGGUGAGAGUGGAAAGCUCAUCAAGUGACGGUAACUACCCAGAAAGGGACGGCUAACUACGUG
rnacentral:rRNA from 1 species